rnacentral:rRNA from 1 species
UCUACGGGUGGCAGCAGUCGAGAAUCAUUCACAAUGAGGGAAACCCUGAUGGUGCGACGCCGCGUGGGGGAAUGAAGGUCUUCGGAUUGUAAACCCCUGUCAUGUGGGAGCAAAUUAAAAAGAUAGUACCACAAGAGGAAGAGACGGCUAACUCUGUGGCAGCAGCCGCGGUAAUACAGAGGUCUCAAGCGUUGUUCGGAAUCACUGGGCAUAAAGCGUGCGUAGGCUGUUUCGUAAGUCGUGUGUGAAAGGCGCGCGCUCAACCCGCGGACGGCACAUGAUACUGGGAGACUAGAGUAAUGGAGGGGGAACCGGAAUUCUCGGUGUAGCAGUGAAAUGCGUAGAUAUCGAGAGGAACACUCGUGGCGAAGGCGGGUUCCUGGACAUUAACUGACGCUGAGGCACGAAGGCCAGGGGAGCGAAAGGGAUUAGAUACCCCGGUAGUC